UGUGCCGGGAGCCAUUAUGGGACAUCCCACCCAUGACAAGGUCAUGAGGAGAAGACCUGAAACGCAAGGCUGUUCAGGCUACAAGGGACCCUCCAGGUUGACCCCGGCCUCUACCCCACCCUGUAGCCUCCCCCUCUUGCUGUUGUCCUUGUUCGUCUUGUUGCCGAUCUUUGCGUUGCCUGCCGAGAGCUCUCCUGCUCCUCUUUCACUAAAUAAAGACCAACAUAGAACCCUAAUGAAUAAAUCUCCUGGACGCGGGUUCCCUACGAAGGGGCCAGGAAUGAAGGAAGUGUUUCAAGUAAAAACCCUUCUGCUGGUACUCUGGCUUGUUUGGCAAAUGUGUACUAAUGCACAUGGCUGCUCACAACACCUUAAUCAUAAACAGCAUAAAGAACCUGAUCACAAAAGGCCCUAAUGGUCACAGAGCCCUUCAGGGGGUGAGGAGGCCCUAUUAGAGAACACAAAAAUAUUAUUCUAAAUGUGGUUAUGGUUAAAGAUUUAGAAAAAUAAGAGUUUAGGAUUGUUAAUUUUAAUCAAGAGUGCUAAAACAGAGGCUGCCUCACUGGAACCACAGAGCCUUUGUGUGGUAAACUUUUUAGAUAAAUUUAGCUGAGAACUUUUGCAAAAAGACUGACCUUUGUGUUAACAGGAUUGUAUUUCUACUAUGUUGCAACCUGCUGUACCAUGAGACUGCAACUUUUCUGUUUUCUGCUAAGCUCAAGGCAAAAUAGAGCAAUAAAGAAUAGACUACGGAAAACAGCUUUGCCUUCACCUAGGUCAUAAAAUGUUAAUAGGCCCCAAGGCCAGAAGAUAAUUUACAAAGAUCCACUAUGAAAGAAGACUCUCAUAAAGAAAGAAGCAUGCAGAAAACACCCUGGUUUCAUGAAGGACAAACUGAGCCAGAAGACAGAAUAUUGCUGCUGUGCAGAAAGGGGCUCUCCGUUUCUGAGUGAGGAGCUUCUGGAACAUCCAGAUGGAGACUAGAUUCGUUAGACUGGUGUAUUCCAGAGAACAAGGACCGUUUUCUUUUGCAUUCAGGCAUUCAGUCACUCACUCAGUUCUUCUGAUCAUCUUAAUAUUCAGAGGGACCAAUGGUGACUCAGUGAACCAGACAGAAGGCCCAGUGACUGUCUCAGAGGGGGCGCUCAUGACUCUGAACUGCACUUACCAGACUGCUGGUUCGGCUCCCUAUCUUUUCUGGUAUGUCCAGCAUCACAACAAAGCUCCUCAACUCCUCCUGAAGGGCUUCACAGCAGACAAGAAGGUAGAGCAUGAAGGUUUUCAGGCCACUCUUGUUAAGGGGGACAGCUCCUUCCACCUGCAGAAAGAGGCAGUGCAAACAUCAGACUCGGCUGUGUACUACUGCGCUCUGAGGGACACAGUGAUGGAGGGCUGCAGGGGGAGCUGAGCACAAACCCAGAUGCAGAUGGGGCUCCAGCCAUGGGCAGACCCGAAGGGGGUGUUGUUUCUCUCUCCAGUGUGCUAUGCUAGAGGUCUUGUCAAAGCUCUUCCAGGUCUGCUCCUCAGAGCCAAUUGGACCUAGGAAUUCUUGGGUUGCCUUACAGAGAGGAAUCUGGGGGCAGGACAGUUCAAAAAGGAACCUAAGAGCUUUUCUCCAGAAAUGCCUGUUUUCAGCCCACCCACAAUCCCGCAGAUCGCAUAGAAUCCCUUGAAGUGACAUUAACUCUUUGAUGACAAUUCAGAAAUAUGCUGAAAUGUUUUACAAUGUGUUAAUGAAAAUUCCAAGGCACAUUGUUGAUGGAUGGCUGUGCGACCUGGAAGCUAGUCUCUGGUUUUUAAAAUUCAGGCCAAGAUUGUGUAUCCUGAUGAGUUUCACCUGCAGACACUCCAUCUUCAGUGACUGGAGCUUUAUUCUCUCUUUCCUGUACUUUUCCAUCCCUUCUAGUUGCUCCAGAAAUGCUGCUACCUAAGUAAGUUCCAGGAGGAGAACUUCCUGAAAAGAUAUUCCUUCUAUUGAUGGUCCUGUGGAUCAGAGCAGACAACUCUGUAAAUACUGCAGGUGUUGUGUGUAUUGUUUGUGUUGAAACUGGGUACAGGAUAUUCUCUUGCUAAUAACCUCAACUCAGGGAAAUGAAUGCCAAAGAAUGUUCAACUUACCAUACAAUUGCACUCAUUUCACAUGCUAGCAAGAUUAUGC